GCGGCGAGGGGGAGCUCGGAGCCGCCCGGCGGGGCCCGCGGCCGGCGCUCGGCUGUCCCCCGCGCCUUGGGGCUCGAAGGGAGAAGGCGCCGCUCGCUUCGUGGAGGAGCCCGGCUAGGCGCAGGUAUUGAAGAUGAUUCAGUAGUCUCAACGUGAUCAGCUCACAUCCUGACAGUUAAGGUAAAUAAGGCAUCUAUAGCCUCCAAGUGCUAUACAACAGCUACAGUAGUCAAGGCCUUUUGCCAACCAGGAAGUCCUGAUGAAGCUGGAAUGAGGUUUCCAAAGGACUUUUCACUUUCUUGCUCGUGAUAGCGGGGAACACUGUCUUCGUACCUGGAACGCCGGAAGAACCCGCACUGUGCAGAGACAGAAAAGAACAGUUCAGGUGUAAGUUGCUACCAAAGUACUACAACUGUAGAGGCAGUAAAUUCUUUCUUCACACAAAUAUACGGGUAGGAAAACUGAAAACAGACAUACGUAGGCCAAAAAUGUAGCAUAUUUAGCUGUAAAAAUGUGAGCCAAGAGGCCUGAAUUAGCUGUUCAGCAGCAGUUAAAGAGCAUGCUCCGACUAUCCAUGGUAAUGAAGUACCUUAAAAAGAUUCCCUCCAAUAUUGUUCAUUCAUCUAAUGAGGACAUUUAUUGCUACGCACAGGAAAGUGCUUCUCCUGAAUCAAAGGUAGGUAUGAACUUCAGUGUCUUCCUGUAUGAUGACAUGAUUUACCCUUAAGAACCUACAGAAAGAUUUCCAGAGCAUUCAAAAAAAAGUUACCCCAAGGGUCUUGGUUUUCAAAGCACCAUUUCCACUUCAGUCACCUGAACUAACUACACAUACACUGUCUUAGAAACAUGAGUCUUGCUUGCCAUGGGAAGUUGCCCUGGAUGAAACCUGUAACAGCUUAUUUGUGCUUUGCAGUUUUUUUAUUCAAAGCCACUGUAAAAACUGAUUUUGAAUAUCAAGGCAUGGACUAAAACUGAUUUCCAAAACAAAAGGGAGCUAUGGCCACAAUAUACAAAGAUAAUGACUUGUACACACUCAGCUUUACAUCCUUACGGAUCAUUGACCAUCCUUAUGGAUCAAUAUUCAGGUUCAGAGACCUUGUGCUAUCCAGCUGUCAUUAGAUACUGCUGGGGGUAAGAACAUGUUAAAGCGAGCAAGCUUUUUUCAUAGUAUUUAGGGUGCUGGAUUUUUUGGUUCUGUUUGGUCCAUGGUUUGGGGGGUUUUUAAUAUUAGAACUUAAGAUAGAAUUUUUAAAAAUUACAGUGAGUGAAGACCAAUUCAUUGGCCAUCUCCUAGUUUCAUUAAACACUGUUUUGAAAUAAUUCAUGAAGAAUUCCUCCCCACUCCCUCAUCCCAAGUACACUUAUGGAUACAAUGUACAUGCAUGUAAUAUCUUAAGUGGAAUAAAGGUUGCUGGAAGCAUAAAUCAUCAUGCAUCUUGUAACUUCAGCAAAGUGUGUUCCUAGAGAAGUACAUCUUAGAACUCAAUUAAAACAGAUGUGAGACCUGCAAUAAAUACUUGUUAUGAAAACCCUUCUCCAAUGUAAGCAACAUGUACAGCAUGCACUAAAGGUUAGUAAAGCAAAUUUAUGUUUUGUUGCUGUAGUUUUAUCUUUGCAUCUUUACUGUACAGUGUUGAUUCCGAUCUUGCAAGCUUAAAGACUUAUUUGUAAUGUUAAAGCAUAAAUUAAAAAAAAAUACUGAAGCCUA